CAGUAGCCGCGGUAAUACGUAGGUCCCGAGCGUUGUCCGGAUUUAUCGGGCGUAAAGCGAGCGCAGGCGGUUAGAUAAGUCUGAAGUUAAAGGCUGUGGCUUAACCAUAGUAUGCUUUGGAAACUGUUUAACUUGAGUGCAGAAGGGGAGAGUGGAAUUCCAUGUGUAGCGGUGAAAUGCGUAGAUAUAUGGAGGAACACCGGUGGCGAAAGCGGCUCUCUGGUCUGUAACUGACGCUGAGGCUCGAAAGCGUGGGGAGCAAACAGGAUUAGAUACCCGAGUAGUCCCUGUCUCUUAUCCA
rnacentral:rRNA from 1 species